GACGAACGCUGGCGGCGUGCUUAACACAUGCAAGUCGAACGGAAAGGCCCUGCUUUUGUGGGGUGCUCGAGUGGCGAACGGGUGAGUAACACGUGAGUAACCUGCCCUUGACUUUGGGAUAACUUCAGGAAACUGGGGCUAAUACCGGAUAGGAGCUCCUGCUGCAUGGUGGGGGUUGGAAAGUUUCGGCGGUUGGGGAUGGACUAGCGGCUUAUCAGCUUGUUGGUGGGGUAGUGGCUUACCAAGGCUUUGACGGGUAGCCGGCCUGGGAGGGUGACCGGCCACAGUGGGACUGGGGUGCGGCCAGGACGCCUACGGGAGGCAGCAGUGGGGAAUAGUGCACGAAGGGCGGAGGCCGGAUGCAGGAACGCCGCGUGCGGGAUGACGGCCUUCGGGUUGGAAACAGCUUUCGCCUGUGACGAAGCGUGAGGGACGGUAAUGGGUAAAGAAGCACCGGCUAACUACGU
rnacentral:rRNA from 1 species